rnacentral:rRNA from 1 species
AAUAAGCUAAUUAAGAGCGUAAGGUGGAUGCCUUGGCUCUCAGAGGCGAUGAAGGACGUGAUAGGCUGCGAUAAGCUACGGGGAUUGGCACACACAAUUUGAUCCGUAGAUUUCCGAAUGGGGAAACCCACUAUAUUGAAGAUAUAGUAUCCGUUAAGGAGGCAAACCCAGGGAACUGAAACAUCUAAGUACCUGGAGGAAUAGAAAACAAAAGUGAUUCCGCUAGUAGUGGCGAACGAACGCGGAACAGCCCAAACCAAAAUUGUUUCGGCAAUUUUGGGGUUGUAGGACCACGACAUUGAAUGUUUAAUGAAUUAGAAUUCUUUGGAAAAAGAAA